CUGCUAUUCCCUCCAUUCGGAAUUACUUGUCACAAAAAUGAAUAAAAAUGAAUGUAUCUACAAUUAAAAUACAUCUAGAUACAUUCAUUUUUUGGACGAGUAAAUCCGAACGGAAGGAGUACAUU
rfam:Triticum aestivum genome assembly, contig: Triticum_aestivum_CS42_TGACv1_scaffold_249658_3DL